GGCGAGUGGCGAACGGGUGAGUAAUACAUCGGAACGUACCCUAGUGUGGGGGAUAGCUUGGCGAAAGCCAAAUUAAUACCGCAUACGCUCCAAGGGGGAAAGCAGGGGACCUUCGGGCCUUGUGCACUGGGAUCGGCCCGAUGUCAGAUUAGGUAGUUGGUGGGGUAAAGGCCUACCAAGCCUGCGAUCUGUAGCUGGUUUGAGAGGAUGAUCAGCCACACUGGGACUGAGACACGGCCCAG
rnacentral:rRNA from 1 species